GAAUAAAAGACAAUUAUCAUGAACAAGGAAAUAUAAUAAUACUUUUAUUAUUGCCUCUAGGGCAUAUUUCCAACAGUCUCCCACUUGCACUAGAGUCAAUAAUCUAGUUCACAUCGCCAUGUGAUUAACAUUGACAGGUCACAUCGCCAUGUAACCAACAUCCAAAGAGUUUACUAGUGUCAUUAAACUAGUUCACAUCAUCAUGUGAUUAAGACUCAAUGAGUUCUGGGGUUUGAUCAUGUUUUGCUUGUGAGAGAGGUUUUAGUCAACGGGUCUGCAACUUUCAGAUCCGUAUGUACUUCGCAAAUCUCUGGGUCAUAUUGUAAAUGCAGCUUUCAACGCUCCACUUGGAUCUAUUCCAAAUGGUUGCUCCACUAUACGUAUCCGGUUUGCUACUCAGAGUCACUCGGAUAGGUGUUAAAGCUUGCAUCGACGUAAUCCUUUACGCCGAACUCUUUAUCACCUCCAUAAUCGAGAAACAUGUCCUUAUUUACUCCAAGGACAAUUUUGACCGCUGUCCAAUGAUCCAUUCGUGGAUCAUUCUUGUACCCCUUGACUGACUCAUGGCAAGGCACACUUCCGGUGCGGUACACAGCAUAGCAUACUGUAGAGCCUAUGUAUAAAGCAUAGGGGACGACCUUCGUCCUUUCUCUCUCUUCUGCCGUGGUCGAGCUUUAAGUCUUAACUUCAUACCUUACAUCUUAGGCAAGAACUCCUUCUUUGACUGAUCCAUCUUGAACACCUUCAAGAUCAUGUCAAGGUACGUGCUCAUUUGAAAGUACUAUUUAGCAUUUUGAUCUAUCUUAUAGAUCUUGAUGCUUAUUGUUCAAGUAGCCUAAUCCAGGUUUUCCAUUGAAAAACACUUUUCAAAUAACCCUAUAUGCUUUCCAGAAAUUCUACAUCAUUUCUGAUCAACAAUAUGUCAAUAACAUAUACUCAUCAGAAAUUCUAUAGUGCUCCCACUCACUUCUUUGGAAAUACAAGUUUCUCAUAAAUUUGUAUAAACCUAAAAUCUUUGAUCAUCUUAUCAAAGUGCACAUUCCAACUCCGAGAUGCUUACUCCAAUCCAUGGAAGGAUCGCUGGAGCUAGCAUACCUUUUAGCAUCCUUAGGAUCGACAAAACCUUUCUGAUUUUAUCGCAUACAACCUUUCCUUAAAAGACUGGUAAGGAAACUCAUUUUGACAUCCAUCUGCUAGAUUUCAUAAAUGCAGCUAAUGCUAACAUGAUUCCGACGGACUUAAGCAUCGCUACGGAUGAGAAAAUCUCAUCAUAGUCAACUCUUUGAACUUGUGAAAAACUCUUCGCCACAAGUCGAGCUUCAUAGACGGUGACAUUACCGUCCACGUCCGUCUUCUUCUUAAAGAUCCAUUUAUCUCAAUGGCUUGCCGAUCAUCGGGCAAGUCCACCAAAGUCCAUGCUUUGUUCUGAUACAUGGAUCCUAUCUCGGAUUUCAUGGCUUCUAACCAUUUGUCGGAAUUUGGGCCCACCAUUGCUUCUCCAUAGCUCGUAGGUUCAUCGUUGCCUAGCAACAUGUCCUUCAAGACAGGAUUACUGUACCACUCUGAAGCAGUACGCAUCCUUGUCACCCUACGAGAUACGGUAGUGACUUGAUCUGAAGUUUCAUGAUCGCUAUCAUAAGCUUCUUACUUCAAUUGGUGUAGGUGCCACAGGAACAAGUUCGUGUGCCCUGCUACACACUAGUUGUAGUGACGGUUCAAUAACCAUAUCAAGUCUCCACCAUCCUCCCACUCAACUUUUCGAGACAAACUUUUCCUCGAGAAAGGACCCGAUUCAAGAAACAAUCCCUAUUGCUUUCGGAUCUGAAUUAGGAGGUAUACCCAACUGUUUUGGGUGUCCUAUGAAGAUGCAUUUUAUCCGCUUUGGGUUCGAGCUUACCAACCUGAAACUUUUUCACAUAAGCGUCGCAGCCCCAAACCUUUAAGAAAUGACAGCUUAGGUUUCUCUAAACCAUAGUUCAUACGGUGUCAUCUCAACGGAAUUACGUGGUGCCCUAUUUAAAGUGAAUGUGGUUGUCUCUAAUGCCUAACCCAUAAACGAUAGUGGUAAUUCGAUAAGAGACUUCAUGGUACGCACCAUAUCCAAUAGGGUGCAACUAUGAUGUUCAGACACACCAUCAAACUAUGGUGUUCCAGGCGGUAUUAAUUGUGAAACAAUUUCCACAAUGUCUUGAUUGUGUGCCAAACUCGUAACUCAGAUACUCAUCUUUAUGAUCAUAUCAUGGACAUUUCAUCCUCUUGUCACGAUGAUCUUCAACUUCACUCUGAAAUUACUUGAACCAUUCAAUAAUUCAGACUUGUGUUUCAUCAAGUAAACAUACUCUAAAUCUACUCGAAUCAUCUGUGAAGUAAGAACAUAACGAUAUUCACUGCAUGCCUCAGCACUCAUUGGACUGCACACAUCAAAAUGUGUUACUUCCAACAAGUUGCUAUCUUGUUCCAUUUUACUGAAAAACGAGGCUUUUUAGUCAUCUUGCCCAUGUGGUAUGAUUUGCAUAUCUCAAGUGAUUCAAAAUCAAGUAAGUCCAAAUGAUCCAUCUGCAUGGAGUUUUCUUCAUGCGUAUACACCAAUAGACGUGGUUCACAUGUCUCAAACUUUUCAAAAACGAGUGAGUCCAAAGAUCCAUCAACAUGGAGCUUCUUCAUGCGUUUUAUACCAAUAUGACUUACAUGGCAGUGCCACAAGUAAGUGGUACUAUCAUUACUAUCUUAUAUCUUUUGGCAUGAAAAUGUGUAUCACUAUGAUCGAGAUUCAAUAAACCAUUUGUUUCAGGUGCAAGACCUUUGAAGGUAUUAUUCAAAUGAACAGAGUAACCAUUAUUCUCCUUAAAUGAAUAACCGUAUUGCGAUAGACAUAAUCCAAUCAUGUCUAUGCUCAACGCAAACACCAAAUCUCGAUGGUAGAGGGAGCGUGCGAUGCUUGAUCACAUCAACCUUGGAAAUACUUCCAACACAUAUCAUCAGCUCACUUUUAGCUAGUCUCCGUUUAUUCCGUAGCUUUUAUUUCGAGUUACUAACACUUAGCAACCAAACCGGUAUCUAAUACCCUGGUGCUACUAGGAGUACUAGUAAAGUACACAUUAACAUAAUGUAUAUCCAAUAUACUUCUAUCGACCUUGCCAGCCUUCUCAUCUACCAAGUAUCUAGAGUAAUUCCGCUCCAGUGGUUGUUCCCCUUAUUAUAGAAGCACUUAGUCUCGGGUUUGGGUUCAACCUUGGGUUUCUUCACUGGAGCAGCAGCUGAUUUGCCGUUUCAUGAAGUAUCCCUUCUUGCCCUUGCCCUUCUUGAAACUAGUGGUUUCACAAACCAUUAACAAUUGAUGCUCCUUCUUGAUUUCUACUUUCGCGGUGUCAAACAUCGUGAAUGGCUCAAGGAUCAUCAUAUCUAUCCCUGAUUUGUUAUAGUUCAUCACGAAGCUCUAGCAGCUUGGUGGCAAAUGACUUUGGAGAAACAUCACUAUCUCAUCUGGAAGAUUAACUCCCACUCGAUUCAAGUGAUUGUUGCACUCAGACAAUCUGAGCACAAGCUCAACGAUUGAGCUUUUCUCACUUAGUUUGCAGGCUAAGAAAAUCGUCGGAGGUCUCAUACCUCUUGACGUGGGCACGAGCCUGAAAUCUCAAUUUCAGCCCUCGAAACAUCUCAUAUGUUCCGCGACAUUUCGAAAACGUCUUUGGUGCCUCAACUCUAAACCGUUUAACUGAACUAUCACGUAGUUAUCAAAACGUGUAUGUCCGAUGUUCGCAACAUCCACAAACGACGUUUGGGGUUCAGCACACUGAGCGGUGCAUUAAGGACAUAAGCUUUCUACUGUUCGCAUAAUCGCUACUGUCAACUUUCAACUAUAUUUUCUCUAGGAACAUAUCUAAACAGUGGAACUAAAGCGCGAGCUUACGACAUAAUUUGCAAAGAUCUUUUUGACUAUGUUCAGGAUAAUUAAGUUCAUCUUAUGAACUCCCACUCAGAUAGACAUCCCUCUGGUCAUCUAAGUGAUUACAUGAUCCAAGUCAACUAGGCCGUGUCCGAUCAUCACGUGAGACGGACUAGUCAUCAUCGGUGAACAUCUUCAUGUUAAUCGUAUCUACUAUACGACUCAUGCUCGACCUUUCGGUCUCUGUGUUCCGAGGCCAUGUCUGUACAUGCUAGGCUCGUCAAGUUAACCCUAAGUGUUUUCGCUGUUUAAAACUGUCUUACACCCGUUGUAUGUGAACGUAAGAAUCCAUCACACCCGAUCAUCACGUGGUGCUUAGAAGCGACGAACUGUAGCAUCGGUGCACAGUCAGGGGAGAACACUUCUUGAAAUUUUGUAAGGGGUCAUCUUAUUUACUACCGUCGUCCUAAGUAAACAAGAUGCAUAAACAUGAUAAACAUCACAUGCAAUCAAAUAGUGACAUGAUAUGGCCAAUAUCAUUUUGCUCCUUUUGAUCUCCAUCUUCGGGGCUCCAUGAUCAUCAUCGUCACCGGCAUGACACCAUGAUCUCCAUCAUCAUGAUCUCCAUCAUCGUGUCUCCAUGAAGUUGUCUCGCCAACUUAUUACUUCUACUACUAUGGCUACCGGUUAGCAAUAAAGUAAAGUAAUUACAUGGCAUUGUUAAAUGACACGCAGGUCAUACAAUAAAUUAAGACAACUCCUAUGGCUCCUGCCGGUUGUCAUACUCAUCGACAUGCAAGUCGUGAUUCCUAUUACAAGAACAUGAUCAAUCUCAUACAUCACAUAUCAUUCAUCACAUUCUUCUUGGCCAUAUCACAUCACAUAGCAUACCCUGCAAAAACAAGUUAGACGUCCUCUAAUUGUUGUUUGCAUGUUUUACGUGGCUGCUAUGGGUUUCUAGCAAGAACGUUUCUUACCUACGCAAAACCACAACGUGAUAUGUCAAUUGCUAUUUACCCUUCAUAAGGACCCUUUUCAUCGAAUCUGUUCCGACUAAAGUGGGAGAGACUGGCACCCGCUAGCCACCUUAUGCACGAAGUGCAUGUCAAUCGGUGGAACCUGUCUCAUGUAAGAGUACGUGUAAGGUCGGUCCGGGCCGCUUCAUCCCACAAUACCGUCGAAACAAGAUUGGACUAGUAACGGUAAGCAUAUUGAACAACAUCAACGCCCACAACUACUUUGUGUUCUACUCGUGCAAAGAAUCUACGCAAUAGACCUAGCUCAUGAUGCCACUGUUGGGGAACGUAGCAGAAAUUCAAAAUUUUCCUACGUGUCACCAAGAUCUAUCUAUGGAGAAACCAGCAAAGAGGGGAAGGAUAGUGCAUCUACAUAACCUUGUAGAUCGCUAAGCAGAAGCGUUCAAGAGAACGGGGUUGAUGGAGUCGUACUCAUCGUGAUCCAAAUCACCGGAGAUCCUAGUGUCAAACGAACGGCACCUCCGCGUUCAACACACGUACAGCCCGGUGACGUCUCCCACGCCUUGAUCCAGCAAGGAGAGAGGGAGAGGUUGAGGAAGACUCCAUCCAGCAGCAACACAAUGGCGUGGUGGUGAUGGAGGAGCGUGGUAGUCCAGCAGGGCUUCGCCAAGCACCGCGAGAUAUGAGGAGAAGGGAGAGAGGUAUGGCUGCGCCAACAGGAGAAGAAAACCAUGUGUUGGGCUGCUCCUAUGCCUCACUAUUUAUAGGGGGAGAGGGGGCUGCGCCCCCACCUAGGUUUCCACCCUAGGGGGCGGCGGCCAGCCCCCAGAUCCCAUCUGGGUGGCGGCCAGAAGGGGAGAAGGGGGGAGGCGCACCCAGGGUGGGCCUUAGGGCCCAUCUGCCCUAGGGUUUGCCCCCUUCCCCACUUCCUGCGCCUUGGGCCCCUUGUGGGGGGCGCACCAGCCCACCUGGGGCUGGUUCCCUCCCACACAUGGCCCAUGCAGCCCUCCGGGGUAGGUGGCCCCACUUGGUGGACCCCCGGGACCCUCCCGGUGGUCCCGGUACGUUACCGAUAUUACCCGAAACUUUUCCGGUGACCAAAACAGGACUUCCCAUAUAUAAAUCUUUACCUCCGGACCGUUCCGGAACUCCUCGUGACGUCCGGGAUCUCAUCCGGGACUCCGAACAACAUUCGGUAACCACAUACAAGCUUCCUUUAUAACCCUAGCAUCAUCGAACCUUAAGUGUGUAGACCCUACGGGUUCGGGAGACAUGCAGACAUGACCGAGACGUUCUCCGGUCAAUAACCAAUAGCGGGAUCGGGAUACCCAUGUUGGCUCCCACAUGUUCCACGAUGAUCUCAUCGGAUGAACCACGAUGUCAAGGACUUAGUCGAUCCCGUAUACAAUUCCCUUUGUCUAGCGGUAUUUUACUUGCCCGAGAUUUGAUCGUCGGUAUACUGAUACCUUGUUCAAUCUCGUUACCGGCAAGUCUCUUUACUCGUUCCGUAACACAUCAUCCCGUGAUCAACCCCUUGGUCACACUGUGCACAUUAUGAUGAUGUCCUACCGAGUGGGCCCAGAGAUACCUCUCCGUUUACACGGAGUGACAAAUCCCAGUCUCGAUCCGUGUCAACCCAACAGACUCUUUCAGAGAUACCUGUAGUGCACCUUUAUAGUCACCCAGUUACGUUGUGACGUUUGAUACACCCAAAGCACUCCUACGGUAUCCGGGAGUUACACGAUCUCAUGGUCUAAGGAAGAGAUACUUGGCAUUAGAAAAGCUCUAGCAAACGAACUACACGAUCUUUGUGCUAUGCUUAGGAUUGGGUCUUGUCCAUCACAUCAUUCUCCUAAUGAUGUGAUCCUGUUAUCAACGACAUCCAAUGUCCAUAGCCAGGAAACCAUGACUAUAUGUUGAUCACAACGAGCUAGUCAACUAGAGGCUCACUAGGGACAUAUUGUGGCCUAUGUAUUCACACGUGUAUUAUGAUUUCCGGAUAAUACAGUUAUAGCAUGAAUAAAAGACAAUUAUCAUGAACAAGGAAAUAUAAUAAUACUUUUAUUAUUGCCUCUAGGGCAUAUUUCCAACAAAAGCAACGGCAUAUGAUCGUCGCAAGUUAGUGGGAGAAAUCUUUGCUCGUCACUGCUGAAGUAAUUCAGUUCAACAGCAUCGGCAUCACUCCAGGGAUAGGUGUUUCGGAGCUCAGCUCGCAAAUCUUUGAAAGAUAUGCUAGUUUCUACCACUUUGGGAUAGAAAAUGAUGAAAUCAAAUGCGGUUUAGUACCACGCAGCACACUAGUUUCCAUUCUAAUCGCCAGCUGGAAAGCCAGCGCGGGAUCAAUCCUAUUUUGUUGAAACAAAGGCUUCAGUUAGCCGGGUAAAAUCGAGCACAAAUUCGAACGAUUCAAGCAAAUAGAAGUCAAAUACGGCCUACAAUACGACUUAGAACGUCAAUUCGAGAGGAAACGAUGCUUACCCCGGUUUAAUCCAUGAAUUAUCUGCCGCGGAUUCAACCCAAUCCUCUCCACGGUCGACAGCAUUCCGAGCGUCCUCACUCAACAUCGCAAUGUAAUCCUAGAUGGGGAGGUGGGCUAUAUCUGGCGGAGACGCGGCGUCGCCGAUGAACGAAAUAGGGGCAUAGGGUGGAGGAAACAACUGCAGUGGACGCAGAACAACGCCGGCGGAGGGGGCGGCGCGGCGCGUCUAGAUCUGUUUCAGAUUCAGACAAGCUGCCCAAUACGCGUCUCCUUGCGGUCCCACCCGUUAGCAAGCAACGGUCAGACGAAGACUCGGCCCCACUCGUCAGCAAUUAACGGUCAAUGGACGGUCUAGACGGCAAACACCCGUUAUGAGCAUUUGUGAGAGUUUCAGCUAAGGAAGAGGGGAAAAGUGAGCAAAAAUUUGGAGCGUGGGGAAAAGUGAGCACAACUAAGGAACUAGGGGCACUAAUUGAAAUAUCCCUUUAUUUAUUGAUUGUCUUCCUUAUGAGUGGCAGUCGGGGACGAGCGAUGGUCUUUUCCUACCAAUCUAUCCCCCUAGGAGCAUGCGCGUAGUACUUCGUUUCGAUAACUAAUAAAAAAUUUCAAUAAGUAUGUGAGUUAUUUAUGACUAAUGUUGAGUCCAUGGAUUAUACGCACUCUCACACGUCCACCAUUGCAAGCCUCUCUUGUGUCAUACAAUUUUCGCCGAUACCAUACCCCACCAUAUACCUUCCUCAAAAUAGCCACCAUACCUACCUAUUAUGGAAUUUCCAUAGCCAUUCCUAGAUAUAUUGCCAUGCAACUUUCCACCGUUCCGUUUAUUAUGACACGCUCCAUCAUUGUCAUAUUGCUUUGUGUGAUCAUGUAGUUGACAUCGUAUUUGUGGCAAAGCCACCGUUCAUAAUUUUUUUCAUACAUGUCACUCUUGAAUCAUUGUACAUCCCGGUACACCGCCGGAGGCAUUCAUAUAGAGUCAUCUUUUGUUCUAAGUAUUGAGUUGUAAGCAAAUAAAAGUGUGAUGAUCAUCAUUAUUAGAGCAUUGUCCCAGUGAGGAAAGGAUGAUAGAGACUAUGAUUCCCCCACAAGUCGGGAUGAGAUUCCGGACGAAAAAUAAAAAAGAAUAAAAAAAGAGAAGGCCAAAAAAAAAGAAAACAAAAAAAUGAGAGAAAAAGAGAGAAGGGGCAAUGCUACUAUCCUUUUACCACACUUGUGCUUCAAAGUAGCACCAUGAUCUUCAUGAUAGAGAGUCUCAUAUGUUUUCACUUUCAUAUACUAGUAGGAAUUUUUCAUUAUAGAACUUGGCUUGUAUAUUCCAAUGAUGGGCUUCCUCAAAAUGCCCUAGGUCUUCAUGAGCAAGCGAGUUGGAUGCACACCCACUUAGUUUCUUUUUGAGAUUUCAUACACUUAUAGCUCUAGUGCAUCCAUUGCAUGGCAAUCCCUACUCACUCACAUUGAUAUCUAUUGAUGGACAUCUCCAUAGCCCAUUGAUACGCCUAGUUGAUGUGAGACUAUCUUCUCCUUUUUGUCUUCUCCACAACCACCAUUCUAUUCCACCUAUAGUGCUAUAUCCAUGGCUCACGCUCAUGUAUUGCGUGAAGAUUGAACUUUUUUGAGAACAUCAAAAGUAUGAAACAAUUGCUUGGCUUAUCAUUGGGGUUAUGCAUGAUUUAAAUAUUUUGUGUGAUGAAGAUAGAGCAUAGCCAGACUAUAUGAUUUUUUAGGGAUGGCUUUCUUUGGCCAUGUUAUUUUGAGAAGACAUGAUUGCUUUGUUAGUAUGCUUGAAGUAUUAUUAUUUUUAUGUCAAUAUUAAACUUUUGUUUUGAAUCUUAUGGAUCUGAAUAUUCUUGCCACAAUAAAGAAGAUUACAUUGAUAAAUAUGUUAGGUAGCAUUCCACAUCAAAAAUUUUGUUUUUAUCAUUUACCUACUCGAGGACGAGCAGGAAUUAAGCUUGGGGAUGUUGAUACGUCUCCAAUGUAUCUAUAUUUUUUGAUGUAUUCAUGCCAUGUUUACAAUAUUUUUACAUGAUUUUGGUAUGAUUUGGUUAGAACUAACCCGGACUGACGUUGUUUUGAGCAGAACUAUCGUGGUGUUGUUUUUGUGCAGAAAUAAAAGUUCUCGGGAUGCACUGAAAAUCAACGGAGAUUUUUUCUGAAAAAUAUAAAAAAUACGGGAACAAAGAGUUACUGGAGGGCAGGCCCGUGGGCUCCACGAGGGUGGAGGGCACCCCCCUAGGGCGCGCCCCUGUGCCUCGUGGACUCUCCGUGGGUCCCCCUGACUUGUUCUCGACGCCAACCUCUUCUAUAAAUACAAAAACCUCCAGAAAAUAACCUAGAUCGGGAGUUCCGCCGCCGCAAGCCUCUGUAGCCACUAAAAACCAAUCGGGACCCUAUCCGGCACCCUACCGGAGGGGGGAAUCAUCACCGGUGGCCAUCUUCGUCAUCCCGACGCUCUCCAUGACGAGGAGGGAGUAGUUCACCCUCGGGGCUGAGGGUAUGUACCAGUAGCUAUGUGUUGAUCUCUCUCUCUCUCUCUCUCUCUCUCUCUCUCUCUCGUGUUCUUGAUAUGGCACGAUCUUGAUGUACCGCGAGCUUUACUGUUAUAGUUGGAUCUUAUGAUGUUUCUCCCCCUCUACUCUCUUCUAAUGGAUUGAGUUUUCCCUUUGAAGUUAUCUUAUGGGAUUGAGUCUUUAAGGAUUUGAGAACACUUUAUGUAUGUCUUGCGUGGGAUACCCGUGGUGACAAUGGGGUAUUCUAUUGAUUCACUUGAUGUAUGUUUUGGUGAUCAACUUGUGGGCUCCGUGACCUUGGGAAUCUAUGCAAAGGGGUUGGGACACGUUUUCGUCUUGACUCUCCGAUAGAAACUUUGGGGCACUCCUUGAAGUUCUUUGUGUUGGUUUGAAUAGAUGAAUCAGAGAUUGUGUGAUGCAUAUCGUAUAAUGAAAAAGUAUGAGCACCGACAACUGGAAUGGUGUGUAAACAUGAAUGUAAUGUCGGUGAGAAAUACGUACUCCCCCAAGCUUAGGCUUUUGGCCUAAGUUGGUCUAUGGCCACGGUUGGCCUGGCGGAUAUCCAAAGUCGUAGUUGGGGUUGUACUGAGAUGCAACAGCUACUACCUGAAGAGUUGCUGCUUGAAGGCGAGCUGCCUCCGUACUCCUCUCAUAUUCAUUUGCCUCCUCCCUGGUUAUAAAAUAUCUCAUGUUUGCCUAAAAGUUAAAGAAAGUAGGAGCAGGGAGAGUAAUAUGGACAGUACACCGCCUGUCAAAGAUUAGUCGGUACUAGAGGAACUGUUCGUUCCUCUCAAGAAACCGAUGGUGAACCAUAGCAUUAUAAUCUAGAUAAGUAGGUGGCAACUCAAUAUCAUUUCCAUUUAUGGGUACACCAAGAUAAUUAGCUACACGAGUUGCAUAAAUUCCACCAAACAAAUUUCCACUUUUACCAUUAAUAUGUAACCUCCGUGCAACAAUGACCCCCAAGUUAUAUUGUUUAUCACCUAAUACCGCACUCUUUGAGGACACUAAGAUCUGGGACGCACAUGUGAGAAAGCUCAUCUUCACCAUUAAUGCAUCUACCUAUAAAGAGAGCAAAGUAAUGUAUGGAAGGGAAAUGAAUGCUCCCUAUGGUAGCUUGUGUGAUCUCUCUAGUUUCUUCCACAAUGAUACUAGCAAGAAAAUCUUUAUAUUCAGAUUUGCGAGGUUCACUAAAGUUGCCCCACUGUGGGAUUUUACAAGUAGUGUUAAAAUCUUCAAGGUCCAUGGUAUAUGAUUAUCAUAGAGAUCAAAUAAACAGUGUGAGUGUUGCGCAUGGAUGAAAAUUUAAACCUCCUCACAAAGGAAUCAGUGAGGUACUAUUAUUGUCAGCACUUAUCUGAUACAAGUCCUCAAGAUCAGCAUUACGUACAUACGUGUCAAAUUCAUCCUUGAAGCCUGCUUGGACCAUAAACUCUUCCGACAACCAUUCACAAGGCUGCACUUGAGCUUCCCUUGGUGGUUCAAGGUCCGGCUCACGUAUCGCGAGCCUUGGUUCUUUCUUCCUUGAAGAACCACCUUGGUACAUUUUCCUAAACAUUUUUCUUCCUCGGAAAAAUUUCUGAAAUUUUUAGUGACUCAAAAAGUGAACCAAACUGAACAAGAUUGAUAGAAACUACUCCCACAAGUACCUAGAAGCUAAAUCAUGCAUUAAAACUACUUUAGACCAUAUAAAUUUGACAUGCAAGCUCAAGAACAGGGUCACCUUAGCAGUAAAAAAUUGCAAUAAAUAAAGGACUAGAACAAAAACUAAUUGGACCAUUGGAGGAGUCACAUACCGAAGAACAAUCCCACAAAGCAGUUUUGUGAAUGGAGCUUUGAGCUAGAAGAUCAAAAAUGGCAGCAAAAUGAGCUAGAACAUGGGUUUGAGCUAUGGGAUGAUUUUUUCUGGAGGAAGACGAAGUGUGUGGGUGCUGGAAUAAGUGGAGGGCGGGGUGUGGGCCCCCUUAUGUUGAUUCUUUUGCCAAUAUUUUUUAUUAAUUCCAAAAGGUGACUCCAUGGAGUUUCAGGUCAUUCCGAGAACUUUUAUUUCUACAAAAAAAAUAACACCAUGGCAGUUCUGCUAAAAACAACGUCAGUCCGAGUUAGUUCCAUUCAAAUCAUGCAAGUUAGAGUCCAAAAUAAGGGCAAAAGUGUUUGGAAAAGUAGAUACGUUGGAGGCGUAUCAACAUGCAUACUCCAAUGUCCCUUCCCUUAUUUUUAUCUCCUAGUUAAAUGACUCAUCAUUCUAAUAUGUUAGAAAAAAUUCACCCAUUCAUGGGCGGGCAAAGACUAUUUUCAUGGAUAUCCAUUGGGUUUGGACAUGGACACAAUUUUUCACCCAUGGAUUUUCUUUCAUGGGCUGGCAAAGACUAUAUUAAUGGAUAUGGAUGUGGAUUUGAUAUUGUUCAACCCGAUCCAAACCCGACCCAUUGCCAUCCUUAGUCGGGGAUGCGAAUUUAUCCCGAAGUUCACACUCGUGAGAGUGCUAAUCUCUGUCAGAGCGAUGACAAAGCCAAAGCUUUGGGGCGUCACCAAGUGACACACCGUAUUCUCCCUUUCGAGUCACCUAGAACGGAUGAGCCUGGAUUCGCUCGGGGUUGGUCUUGAAGGCGACCACCGCACCUUUACAAACUUCUCCGGAGCACACCACAAACACGCAAGCAUCCGGAGCAACUUUACCACCUAGGCCACUUCACACCCUUCCCUAGAGCGCAGCACAAAAGGAAGCUUCCGGAGUAACCUUGACCACAUAGGCCUCUUCACAAACUUCUCAAUAUAUCAACAAACCGUCUAGGAGGCGGAAGCCUCCAAGAGUAAUAAACUCAUGGGCUCUCACUCGAACAAGUCAAUGUAGGGAGCUCAAACCAAUGCAACAAAUGCAAUGCAAGGUCAAGCAACAAAUGCAAUGCAAGGUCAAGCAACAAAUGCUCAACUCACUCUCUCAAUCUCACAAGAUGCACUCUCGAAAGUAGGGCAUUCAACAAAGGGGAUGCCAUGGAUAGAAUCAACAAAUGACUCAAAGAUUCAUCCACAAACCCCCCCCUUCACAUAGAGGGGGGAUAGGGGUUUGGAAGAGGUAGUAAGAGACUCAAAAUGAUGUUUAUAAAGUGUAUAAACAACCCUCAAACCGGAUGGGGGACGAAGCCCUCAAAUAGCCAAACCCCAAAACUAGUCGUUGGGGCUCCAACAGACACUUCCUGGACACCUCGUGCCCACGGGGUCCCGUGUCCACAGUACAAGCCCGUGCCCACGGCCUCAAAACCUCGUGCCCACGAGGUACAUAGAAAUAGCCCAAAGCAGGAAACCAAAACAAGCAUAACUUUGGCAUACGAACUCCGAAUUUGAUGAUCUUGGGCUCGUUUUAAAGCUAUGGAAAAGCCCAAGGUCCUCACAUAGAUAACCACCCAAGAUCAACAAUAAAUAAUGAUGCAAAUCAUGAAAAGGUUUGAGCUCUAUACAUGCGACGUGAUCAAGCUACUUGCCCGAAAGCCCCCCUUGAUAGUACGACUAUCAAACCUAUAAUCCGGUCUCCCUCCAAGCACCAUGAGACCGGAAAAACUAGAAAAACUUAUCUAAGUUAUACCUUUGCCUUGCACAUUCCACUUGAUCUUGAUGAUGACUUUAAUGCUUGCCUCAAGUUGAAAUCAUUUUCUUGUCCACAAUCACUUGGUGAAGAUACUCGAAAUGCUUCCCCAUAUUGCAAUGGGGAAAGCCUUAACUUAAGCUCAUCUUCACAUGCACAUUAUCAUGAUGAGGACCACAAGAUUCAAAGCAUAUAACCUCCAGCUUCUCAUCUUGCACUUGGACACCUCGAACCCGAUGACCAUCACCACUUGAUGUCAUCCACACUAGGCUACUUGAAAUCUUUCUUUUCUAUGCAAGCCCAUGAUAAACUCCUAACCCAAGUAGACAUAAAAAACACAUAAUAUGGGUUAGGUCACAAAGCACAAUUCACAAUUACUUACCAUACCACUAGAUCACUUGAUCCCACGUGGUACAAAGAUUGCACUUUGAGAGUUGACCAUCUAGAUAAUCUUCGAGCUUUGUCUUGGUCAACCAACAUCUUUACUUCAUGCCCCAUCUUGGUUUAUUGAAAGCCACAAUGAACUCUUCACUUCCCGUCAUUGCUUCAAGACUAUAUUACCAAAGAUUCUUCCAUGUCCUUAUCAAGUUCCACUAUGAAUAUCAUCUUGGUCGCCACAUCCUCUCCUAAAACUCCAUCAUAAUCUCUUGAGAGGCACAAUGAAUUCUUCACUUUAGUUGCUUGCUUUAAGACUUGAUAAACCUAAACACAAAAUAUGAGCUCACCAUGAUAUUGUCUUGAAACCAUAACUUGAAUUAUUCUCUUUAAUUAUUCUCUCAAGCCCUUGAUCCUUAAAAGCCCCAAAUAUGUUAAUCUUUGAGAUAUUCCAAUGAACUCCCCCUUGAAAAAAUUUGGUUGGACAUGGAAAUCACCUUAUUGGAUUCAAUAGAAGUCCCCGAAGACCAACUUCAAACCUCAUUGAACAUGCGAUCUCCAAAGCCAAAAACCUAGGCCCUAUUACACGGGGUAUCCAGAGAGUUGACACUCGACCCCGUGCGCACGACACAAGCCCGUGAGCAUGGGGUAUACAGAGAAGGAUACCAUGAGGACUGAAGGAAAUAUUCCCUAGAGGCAAUAAUAAAGUUGUUAUUUUAUAUUUCCUUAUUCAUGAUAAAAUUUUAUUAUUCAUGCUAGAAUUGUAUUGAUCGGAAACUUAAAUACAUGUGUGAAUACAUAAACAAAUACCAUGUCCCUAGUAUGCCUCUACUAGACUAGCUCGUUAAUCAAAAAUGGUUAAGGUUUCCUAACCAUAGACAUGUGUUGUCAUUUGAUAACGGGAUCACAUCAUUAGGAGAAUGAUGUGAUGGACAAGACCCAUCUGUUUGCUUAGCAUAAUGACCGUUCAAGUUUUAUUGAUAUUGCUUUCUUCAUGUUAAAUACAUAUUCCUUCAACUAUGAGAUUAUGCAACUCCCGCAUACCGGAGGAAUACCUUGUGUGCUAUCAAACGUCACAAUGUAACUGGGUGCAUAAAGAUGCUCUAUAGGUAUCUCCAAAGGUGUUUGUUGAGUUGGCAUAGAUCGAGAUUAGGAUUUGUCACUCCGAGUAUUGGAGAGGUAUCUCUGGGCUCUCUCGGUAAUACACAUCAUAAGCUUGCAAGCAAACGACUAAGGAGUUAGUCACAAGGUGAUGUAUGACGGAACAAGUAAAGAGACUUGCCAGUAACGAGAUUUAACUAGGUAUAGACAUACCAACGAUCGAAUCUCGGGCAAGUAACAUACCGAUGGACAUAGGGAAUUACGUAUGUUGUCAUAAUGGUUCGACCGAUAAAGAUCUUCGUAGAAUAUGUAGGAGCCAAUAUGGGCAUCCAGGUUCCACUAUUGGUUAUUGACCAGAGAGGUGUCUCGCUCAUGUCUACAUAGUUCUCAAACCCGUAGGGUCCGCACGCUUAACGUUCGUUGACGAUAUAGUGUUAUAUGAGUUAUGUGAUUUGGUGAAUGAAUGUUGUUCGGAGUCCUUGAUGAGAUCAUGGACAUGGCGAGGAGUCUCGAAAUGGUUGAGAGGUAAAUAAUGAUAUAUAGGAUGAUGGUAUUCGGACACCGGAAGUGUUUUGGAGGGUACUGGGUACUUAUCGCGUCACCGGAAACGAGGUUCGGGCACCCCUGGCAAAGAUAUGGGCCUUAUGGUCCAAGAGAGGGAACACACCAGCCCACAAGGAGCUGGUGCGCCCCUAUAGAGGUCGGCCUUAUGAGGAGGAGAAGGAAAGAGGGGAGGGAAAAGGAAAGUGUGGAGUAGGACUCCCCCUUCCUUCCCUCCCCCCUCUUUGCUUCCACCUUGUUAAUACAAGGAAAGGGGGGCGCAGGCAAGGCAGGGGCCCUAGGGGCCGGCGGCCAGCCCUAGGUCGUGCCUGGCUACCUCCCCUCCCCUCCCACCUAUAUAUAUGGGGAGGGUGCGCCACACAACGGGACACGACAUUGUCUUAGCCGUGUGCGGCGCCCCAUCCACCGUUUACUCCCUCGGUCAUAUUUUCGUAGUGCUUAGGCGAAGCCAUGCGGAGAUCACAUCACAAUCACCGUCACCAUGCCGUCGUGUUGUCAAAACUCAUCUAUUACCUCGCCGUCUUGCUGGAUCAAGAAGGCGGAGGACGUCAACGAGCUGAACGUGUGCAGAACGCGGAGGUGUCGUACGUUUGGUACUUGAUCGGUUGGAGCGCGAAGAAGUUCAACUACAUCUAUCGCGUUGUUAAACGCUUCCGCUUACGGUCUACGAGGGUACGUAGACACGCUCUCCCCUCUCGUUGCUAUGCAUCUCCUUCAUAGAUCUUGCAUGUGCGUAGAAUUUUUUUUGUUUUCCAUGCAAUGUUCCCCAACAAGGACUUUUUAGAUGCUUUGAUGGCAUUCUUCACAAAACAACCCAAUGCACUUCAAGCAUCACUAUGAAACAUAUCUUCAUAUAUGAUUCAAUACAGUUGAUGCUCCAUAGGAAUUGUCAUUUAACACCAAGCUUAGAGCAAAUUUAUCUUCAUAUAUAUGGACUUCAUCGUUGAUUCCAUCUAGUAUCCUUUAUGCACCAACUAUGGACAAUACCGUCAAAUAUAUCUCAGUGAAAACAUUAGUCCAUAAAGAUUGUCCUUAAUUAACAAAAUCACAUUUAGGGGCUACAUGCCCUUUCAGUAACAUUGAUAGACAAAGUCGACUCUAUCUUCUUUGGCGAGGUGCCCUACCACUCAAAAUCAACAUGUUUCUAUGGCAGCUCUUACGAAACCAUCUUCCUACACCGAUGCACAUUGCUAACUUCAACGAGUUGUUUGAUGGGAUUUGUGCUUUACGUUCCCAAAUGGAGAACAUCAACAUCAUUUUGCUUCAUGUUCUGUAGCUGAAUUUGUAUGCACUUCUGCCAUCAUAGGCAUGUGAUUAGGCUCUGAUUGGACCCCCUCCCAGUCAGCUUCCAAACUUGUGGUCUUCAUGCUAUGUGCAAAGAGUUGUUUGGCGUUGCUUUGCUGCCCUAGUGUGAGCUUCAUGGAUUAUACACAAUGAACGAACACGAAUGUUCUAAUCAUGCUCGGGUGAACAGUAAAAAAUAAAUAGAAAAAGCAUUUUGGAGCAUUGAUUUUCUCUUUUUUUGCCAAUUUUCCGCAAAUGUCAUCCGGUGAUGAAAUUUGCAAACAAUGAAAACAUUUGUCAAUGUUUGACACAAAUAAAUUCAGAAUAUAUAUUUUUCCAUUUUUUUGAUUUUACUGUUCACCCGAGCUCACAUGAGCUCGGAAUAAGAACAACACUUGCGCGCAGUAAACUUGCUAUUGAAAAGUUGUUUUCAAUCCAGCCAAUUGCAUUUUCAAUUGUGUUUUCCCCCUCCAGCUAUGGGUGUCGCUCGGGAGAUGAAAGACAUGGCUGGUGCGACCAAAGCGUUGUACAACCUUAAACAUAUACAUGCCAUCAACUGGAGGCGACGUCGCCUCCCAUGAAUGGUGCCCCACAUAGUGUCUUUUAUUUUUCCGAGUCAAAACAUACUCUACCUCUCUAUCAGAUACUUUUUAGCGGUUGGGAGCGCGCCUUGCUUUCUUGUGUGUAGUUUUUGUUUUGAGGGAAGACCAUCAUGGCGACUCUUGUGUGUAGUUUUGUUUUUUUUCAAGACUUUCUAACUCGCCAACCUUAGGCCUCCUUUGGUUCAUAGGGUAGGAAAAUCGUAGGAAUAGAAAAAUAAUAAAGAAUGAGAUGAUAUGUAUCUCAAAUUCUAUUAGUAGGAAUAGGAAAGGAGAUGCCCUCUGAUUCACAUCAUAGGAUUUUUUUUAUUAAGUCUAGACUAAUGUUUAGGCUUCCUUCGGUUUGUAGGAAUUUUAUAGGAUUUCUAUAGGAUAGGAUUUGCAUAGAAAAAUUUCCUUUGAAGUCCUUCGGUUUGUAGGAAUGAAUUCCUAUUCCUAUGUAGGAUAGGAAUCAAUCCUUUACAUUUUGGAGGAAAUAAAGUUAGUUAAGACUCAAUGAAAAAAUUCAUAUCCUAUGCAUCAAAUGACAUCUCUUUCUCUAUAGGAAUUGAGGUGCAUAUCAUCUCUCUUCCUACGAUUUUCCUAUUCCUAUAACAUUCCUAUCCUAUGAAUCAAAGGAGGCCUUAUUUUCCUAUGAAAUAUGAGGGUAGGAAGAAUUCCUCCAUAGGUAUAGGAUUUCAUUCCUACAAACCAAAUGGCUCUAAAGGAAUUUUUCCUAUAGAUAUCAUAUCAUAUGAAAUUCUUACAAGAUUCCUCUAAACCAAAGGAGGCCUAAGUUUUCGUUUUGUUAAUUUAAAGCCGGAGGUUGCUUGCGCUUCUUUAAACUUUUAAUUUGCACAUAAAAUGAAGUACACCGAAAUUGUAAGCAAAAUAUCCUCAUCUGAGCAAAAUUGAAUAACUUUGAAAACCGAUUUAGCUCCAGAAGGAAUCAAAUUACUCCUUUGUUUCCAAUUAUAAGAUAUUUUAAAUAUUUUAAUAUAGACUGCACACAGAUUGAAAUGAGGGAAUAAAUAUAUUAAAACGUGUGUGUAUACAUCUGAUUCUGAAAAAAACAUAUUAUCUUCAUCCCUAAUUAGUUAAAUCACAUUUGUCUAAAUACGGAUGUACCUAGGCAUGAUAGUCGUAUCGUAUUUUAUAAAUACGGAUGCACCUAACGCUAAAUACGUGUCUAGAUACAUCCGUACCUGGACAAAUUUGAGUCAACUAAUUAUAUGGCAUGGAAUCACAUUUUGCUGGCGCCAUUAGUUUGCUCAACACCCGAAAUUAAUUUCCAAAAACUGAAGAACGUUAAAUUGGCCAGUAGCUAAUUGCAAAUCGCAUAAUUAGCGUUAACCAUUUUCAGUUUUUGAAAACUGCCCACUAGAGACGCGCACGGGCCACCAUGCUCGUCCAACGACCGCCACGCGUCUUGAGACCGGAUAGGUGGGCACGAGUCGCUGUCGUCGGGUCUUCCACCACCACCAUCCGAUGCCAUCCAACGGCCCAUGCCCGCCCCACUCCCCCGACUUCUAUAUAACCAGAACCCACGAUCCGGGUCCGACCCCCCCUACGCCGUGCUGUGCUCGAGUGUCAACGUCAUCCCCUAGCCUCCCGCCGCCGUCGCCGCCCCCGCCGCCACAAGCGAACAAGGUGAGGCGCCCUCCCCUGCCGCCCUUCUUCUUCUUCUUCUUCUUCUUCAUUUUGCUUAAGCUCGUUCCGAUCUAGUAGGCUGCUUCAUUUUGCUUCCGUUGCUAUCUAUCUUCGCUCCGAUCUGGUACGCGUUUGUCGCUUAGGGCUUUAGAAACGGCCGCCUCUUGAUCCGUCGCCCCGGUACUUCGCGGUGAAAUUUGCGCUUAUUUUCUUGACAACUUGUUGUCUAGAGGAAGUAUCGCCCAGGUUCGCAGUGACGAGCUAGAUCCUCUUGAUUGGGGAUUUCGCCACCCUUUUAUCUCUCUAAAAUCCUUGGGAGAUUGGGUGUACUGCGACCAUUAUUCGUCCUGUGAACCAGUCGAGGGAUUAGCGUUAGUAGUGAUGAGCAGGGCUUGUUCUGUACGCAGAGAUUUAUAGUGCCCUGUCCUUUUAUCUGGGAUUUAGUGCUGAACAAUGGAUUGCGAGCAGUAGUUUGGUCACAGUACAUUUUUUUUAUAGUAGUUCACAGUGCAAUUGGAUAGGUACCUUUAUGCUGCGAAAUAGUGGCUGGGAUUUAGUGCUGGACAGUGGAUAAAUUGUUUGGUCACAGUGCAAUUGGAUAGGUACCUUGUGCUGCGAAUAAUACUGGAUUAUGUUGUUCUUAGAACCUUGUCCUGGGAAGAAUAGAAUUUAUACUGCUGUGUCCCGAGAUGCUGAUUCGCAGGUUACAGCCCUGCGGAGUUGAGUGCAACGGGUUAUUCUUUUAUUCGUUGAAUCUUGUCCUGUUUGUGCAACUUGAUUAUUUUAGGAUGCUUUGAUUAGGAUCUUGUAUGUGUAUUUCUUGUCCCUACUGCUGCCAACUUUUUACAAUAGGGAGCAGAACGACUUGUGCACAUUCACACAACUGCUAACACUCAUGAGCAGUUCACUAGAUGACGAUCAUGAUUGUAAUGAGUUUAAUAAAGUAAAAUUGUUUGGAUGUAUGUCAGAUCUGGUAAUUUAAAUCUAAGUUUCUAACCUCUAGAAUGUUCGAUGACACCUUUUUGUUCUUAUGACACAAUUUAUGUUCUGAGACACUGAUCACCUUUUGUUUAGGCCAAAGAAGAUGGCUGAAGUUGAAACCUUCCUCUUCACGUCUGAGUCUGUCAAUGAGGGGCACCCUGACAAGCUCUGCGACCAGAUAUCUGAUGCUGUGCUAGAUGCAUGCCUGGCUGAAGACCCUGACAGCAAGGUUGCUUGUGAGACAUGCACCAAGACCAACAUGGUCAUGGUUUUCGGUGAGAUCACUACCAAGGCCAAUGUUGACUAUGAGAAGAUUGUCAGGGAUACUUGCCGUGGCAUCGGUUUUGUGUCCAAUGAUGUAGGGCUUGAUGCUGACCACUGCAAGGUACUUGUCAACAUUGAGCAGCAGUCCCCUGACAUCGCGCAGGGUGUCCAUGGCCACUUUACCAAGCGGCCUGAGGAGAUUGGCGCUGGUGACCAGGGCCAUAUGUUUGGAUAUGCAACUGAUGAGACUCCGGAGUUCAUGCCCCUCAGCCAUGUUCUUGCUACCAAGCUUGGUGCUCGUCUCACCGAGGUCCGCAAGAACGCCACCUGCCCGUGGUUGAGGCCUGAUGGCAAGACCCAGGUGACUGUGGAGUAUCACAAUGACAAUGGUGCUAUGGUCCCUAUACGUGUCCACACUGUGCUCAUUUCCACCCAGCACGAUGAGACAGUGACCAAUGAUGAGAUUGCUGCUGAUCUGAAGGAGCAUGUGAUUAAGCCUGUCAUCCCAGAGCAGUACCUUGAUGAGAAUACCAUCUUCCAUCUCAACCCAUCUGGCCGCUUUGUCAUUGGUGGACCUCACGGUGAUGCUGGUCUCACUGGCAGGAAGAUCAUCAUUGACACCUAUGGUGGCUGGGGAGCUCAUGGUGGAGGCGCUUUCUCUGGCAAGGACCCGACCAAGGUUGACCGCAGUGGUGCAUAUGUUGCCAGGCAGGCGGCGAAGAGCAUUGUUGCAAGCGGCAUUGCCCGCCGCUGCAUCGUCCAGGUGUCUUAUGCUAUUGGCGUGCCUGAACCACUCUCGGUGUUUGUCGACACAUACGGCACGGGCAAGAUCCCUGACAAGGAGAUCCUCGAGAUUGUCAAGGAGAACUUUGACUUCAGGCCAG
rnacentral:lncRNA from 1 species